rnacentral:rRNA from 1 species
GGGGAAUUGUUCGCAAUGGGCGCAAGCCUGACGACGCAACGCCGCGUGGAGGAUGAAGAUCUUCGGGUCGUAAACUCCUGUCGAGUGGGAAGAAUAGUUCCGGGGCUAAUAUCCCCGGAGCCUGACGGUACCACUAAAGGAAGCCCCGGCUAACUCCGUGCCAGCAGCCGCGGUAAUACGGGGGGGGGCAAGCGUUGUUCGGAAUUACUGGGCGUAAAGGGCUCGUAGGCGGCCAACUAAGUCGGAUGUGAAAUCCCCAGGCUCAACCUGGGAACUGCAUCCGAUACUGGAUGGCUUGAAUUCGGGAGAGGGAUGCAGAAUUCCAGGUGUAGCGGUGAAAUGCGUAGAUAUCUGGAGGAAUACCGGUGGCGAAGGCGGCAUCCUGGACCGACAUUGACGCUGAGGAGCGAAAGCUAGGGGAGCAA